rnacentral:rRNA from 1 species
GAACGCUUCUUUCCUCCCGAGUGCUUGCACUCAAUUGGAAAGAGGAGUGGCGGACGGGUGAGUAACACGUGGGUAACCUACCCAUCAGAGGGGGAUAACACUUGGAAACAGGUGCUAAUACCGCAUAACAGUUUAUGCCGCAUGGCAUAAGAGUGAAAGGCGCUUUCGGGUGUCGCUGAUGGAUGGACCCGCGGUGCAUUAGCUAGUUGGUGAGGUAACGGCUCACCAAGGCCACGAUGCAUAGCCGACCUGAGAGGGUGAUCGGCCACACUGGGACUGAGACACGGCCCAGACUCCUACGGGAGGCAGCAGUAGGGAAUCUUCGG